GGGCAGGCUCCGAGCCCGACAGCGCCCACUGCUGGUGGGGCCGGGAAGCCCCGGGACCUCCCACUCCCCGGGGGCGGGUGCAGACGGCGGCCCCUGGGAAGCCGGCUUGGUGGGUUCUCACCAGAGUAAACGCACUUCGGCCAGACCGGCUCCGACGGUGCUCCGAUACUCCCCGGAGGCGCCAUAAGCGAACGUUCCAGAAACCUCCACGCCGCGGCUUUCUUCAGAAAGCCCCCAAGAUGCCCGUCGGCGGGGGGAGGGGCGAAUGAGCCGGGGCAUCCAGACAAGGGGACGGGCUCAGCGCGAAGGAGAAUUGAGCUCUCAAGCCACACAGAGACACGGGGAAACUCGGUGCGUCUUACCAAGUGAGAGAGGCCAUUCUGGAAGAUUCCACACUGCAUGAUUCCAACCACCUGAGAUCCCGGAAAAGGCAGAACUGUGGAGACGGGAAAAAGACCAGGGCCUUCCAGAGGCUAGACACGGGGAGGGGUGAGCAGGGGAAGCGCUGAGGAUGUGGACCGACUCCUAGGGCAGCGUCACGGUGGGCACACGGCUUCCCCUAUUUGUCCAAACUCACGGAAUGGGCAUGACAUUCCCGGCAACGGGAAAGGCCUGGGGUUGUUGGGGGGAAAGACCCUGAGCUGAAGGCAGAGCUCCUGCCCCUCCAUCUGGGGUCGGGGUCAACUGGAACUUUCUAGCAUGUUUUCCCAGCCCUAGCCUUUGAAUUUCCAAGAUAUUUUGCCUCUUUCCACGAGCCACUAGGUCCACGGGCCUUGUUCCCAGCGCCUACGUCCUCUGCAAGGUGCCCCGAAAACUUCCCACCGAUCACACCCCCCAAGCCCUCCCAGCCCGUGAGCUCUGCCAGCGAGCGGCCCUGACCCGGACAGGUGACCCGGCGAUUCCAGAGCCGACCGGAAACUUGUGGGUCGCCUUUCCCUUCCGCCGAGUGGGAAUGCCAGCAGGUGAGGGCCCAGCGCGCUGCCGCCUGGCCCUGGGCCUGGCAAAGACGGGGUCUCCUAAGGAGAGAGACGCAGCUGGAACCGCCGUUGGGCGCGGAGCCUUCCUGUGGGGCAGCUCUGCCACCUAAGCAAACACGAUGCCAGGAGCGCUGCCUACGGGCUGACUUUGUCACCUGGGACAUGAAGAGCUGGACAUCAAAAGGCCUGGAGCGCAUGGGCCUGACCACGUUAUUGCCCCCAAGAAUGGGACCGUCUGUGACAAAACAGCUCGGUUACAACGGGGAAGAACGCGUGGCCGCCCGCGGCCGAGAGGCCCUGCCCCAGUGGCUCUCAGCUCCGGAGCGACAGGGAAGGAGACGCCGGGGGUGUCACACUCAGCGUCCUCCUACGGACACACCACCGAUGGCGUGAGGAUUCGAGAUGAAAAGGGCGUUUAAAAGCCCCGGGAAAGGGGGCUGGGCCGUGGAGCAGACUCCUGGCUGGACACCUGGGCAGUGACCCACGGGGCACUGCCAGCGGGUCGGGAGUGGGGAGCAGCGACUGUGCUCAGAAAACAGCCCGGAAGGAGGGGCUGAGGACCCGGGAAGAACCCCUUCAUCGGAAGCUAGUAUUUAUAAAAACUUCACUCUGU